GAGGGUCAGCCCUGUCCGGUUGGGGCUACUCUUGUGUGGGUUUCUGUUCGGGUUUGACUGUUUCGAACGUUGUCUUUUGGGUUGUUCCCUUUGGGGUUUUGGUUUGUUUUCUUCGGAGUUCCUUUGCUCAUUCCUUGUUGGCGCCUGUGCUCUCAAGGUGUUUGCACACUUUUUUUUUUUGUUUCCUUUUCAAUAAAAUUUCUAUUUCAGCAGUAGUUUUGGAGUUACAUUUGUGAUUUUAUGUGCCUUUUUAAUGGUUUUAAGUAGUGGUAAGGGAGUGGGGCUCUCAAGAGACCUUUUGAGCCUAUAAAUAGGCAUGUAAUCACUUGUAAUAGAGACACCAUUGAUAUAAACGAAAAUUGCUUAUGCUUAGUGAGUUGAAUUCUCUUUGUUGAGUUUUUCACUUGUUUUAGAACUUAUCAAG
rnacentral:lncRNA from 1 species